GGAGAGGUGGCUGAGAGGCUUAAAGCGGCAGCUUGCUAAGUUGUUGUACAAAAAUUUUUGUACCAUGGGUUCGAAUCCCAUUCUCUCCG
rnacentral:tRNA from 1 species